UACGUAGGGGGCUAGCGUUGCUCGGAAUUACUGGGCGUAAAGCGCACGUAGGCGGCUUUCUAAGUCGGGGGUGAAAUCCUGGAGCUCAACUCCAGAACUGCCUUCGAUACUGGAGAGCUUGAGUCCGGGAGAGGUGAGUGGAACUGCGAGUGUAGAGGUGAAAUUCGUAGAUAUUCGCAAGAACACCAGUGGCGAAGGCGGCUCACUGGCCCGGUACUGACGCUGAGGUGCGAAAGCGUGGGGAGCAAACAGG
rnacentral:rRNA from 1 species